CUACGGUGAAUACGUUCCCGGGCCUUGUACACACCGCCCGUCAAGCCAUGGAAGCUGGGGGGACCUGAAGUCGAUAACCGUAAGGAGUCGCCUAGGGUAAAACCGGUAACUGGGGCU
rnacentral:rRNA from 1 species